CGGAGGGAUCAUUAAAGAGUUCUAUAACUCCCAAACCCAUGUGAACAUACCUAACGUUGCCUCGGCAGGUCGCACCUACCUUGUAGCACCUUACCCUGUAAGGCCUACCCGGGAGGUGCGGGUAAGCCUGCCGGCGGCCCACCAAACUCUGUUUGAUAUUGAAUUCUGAACCUAUAACUAAAUAAGUUAAAACUUUCAACAACGGAUCUCUUGGUUCUGGCAUCGAUGAAGAACGCAGCGAAAUGCGAUAAGUAAUGUGAAUUGCAGAAUUCAGUGAAUCAUCGAAUCUUUGAACGCAUAUUGCGCCCAUUAGUAUUCUAGUGGGCAGGACCGUUCGAGCGUCAUUUCAACCCUUAAGCCUUCGUUGCUUAGUGUUGGGAGCCUACGGCAACGUAGCUCCUCAAAGUUAGUGGCGGAGUUGGUUCACACUCUAGACGUAGUAAUUUUUUAUCUCGCCUAUUAGUUGAACUAAUACCCUGCCGUAAAACCCCCAAUUUAUCAAGGUUGACCUCGAAUCGGUUCAGACAAACUCGCUAAAUUGAAGCAUCUUAGUCAGCGAAGGAAAAGAAACCAACAGGGAUUGCCCUAGUAACGGCGAGUGAAGCGGCAACAGCUCAAA
rnacentral:rRNA from 1 species